AGGACUUGGAGCUUAUGGGUUUGAAGCUGGACAUCCUUCCUCUAAUGUCGGGGAGUGGCUUCUCUAUGCCACAGCCUUGCCUCCAUGAUAUGCUGCUUCGCCUUGUGUCAAGACCUAUGGAAUCAGCUGGACCAAGAUCUCUGAUAUCAUGAGCCCUGAAUAAACCAUCCCUCCUCUAAGUUGUCCUUGUCAGUUUUAUUACUUUGAAGAAGCCAUCUGAUGACUCCUGGCCUGGAAGCAGUCUCUGAACUAAGAAUCCCAAAGAAUCCACAUGAGAGGGAUGCCAUCUUGCUGUCUUGAGGAAGCAAACAGCUAUGGUUUGGAGGAAAUCGUGUGACUGGAAGAUGUGAGUAACGUCUAGGAGCAAAGAGGGACACCUGUGGCUAAUAGCCAGCAAGUAAAGGUUCUCAUAAAUUGUGCCAAGAAUCAAUAAAUUUGGCAGAGAAUCCUAAAUUGUACAUGAAAUUCAUAGAUAUGCAAGUUCCUUGUAUAAAUGGUAUAGUAUUUGCCUAGAAUUCAUGCACAUCCUCUUGCAUAUCAUAUAUAUAUAUAUAUCCUCAAGCUCACACCUUGAUUAGGGCUUAGUGAGACCCCACACAGAAACUUCUCUUAAGAGAUGCUAGACUUUCACCCAUAGAAACAUUGAAUUAAUUUCAAAUAUAUAUUUGUGUUCUGUCAAUCCACUAAUUUGUGGUAAUUUGUUAUAAAGCAAUAUAAAUUAGAAGCCAUGAAAACAUGUCCAUAGGAAACCUACAUGUGAGUGUCUACAUUAACCUUCAAUCAGAAUAGCCAGAACCUGGAAACAACACACUUAUCUAUUAACUGGUAAAUAGAUAAACAAUGUAUGACAUAUCUAUAUGAUGGAAUACUACUGAGUAAUUUAAAGUAAUUUAAAGUGACAUCUCCUCCAAUAUAUUUAAUAGCACAAAUAAAUAUGAAAAACAUUAGCUUAGUGACCAAAGAUAGACAUAAUAGGCUCCACACUGUAUGUCUACAUUUCUAUAUAGACAUUAUAAAGCCAGUACUAUAGGGACAGAAAAGGGGUCAUCAUUUAUCAAGGGCUAAGUUUAACAUUGAAACAAUUGCCUAGAAAUGGAAAGUCACAUAGGGAAUCAUCUUCCAUACCCUUACUUCAUUAAAUCUCUUUUUGCUAUUUUCCUGAACUAUAAUUUUAUUUGUAAUUUUGUAUAUAUUAUAUGUUAUUUCUAUAUCUACAUCUGUAUCUGUAUCUAUAUGUCAUUGUACAGUUAUUAUACAUUGGUAUCCACUGGGUGAGAAUUAGUUCCAGGACCCACUGUAGAUACUUAAAUUCAUAUAUAUGCAAGUUCCUUGUAUAAAUGGUAGAGUAUUUGUCUAAAAUUUAUGCACAUCCUCUUGCAUAACUUAAAUCAUCUUCAGGUUGUUUAUUACAUAUCAUGUGAAAAAGAUGUUAUAUUUCAUUGCUAGGGAAUAAUGACAAGGAAAAAAAUUUGUAUAUGUUCAGUACAGACUCAAUUUUUUUCCAGGAUAUUUUCAAUUUGCAGUUGGUUAAAUCAACAAGUGUGGUAUCCACAGAUAUG